rnacentral:rRNA from 1 species
AAUAUUGGACAAUCGGGGCAACUCUGAUCCAGCCAUGCCUCGUGCGUGAAGAAGGUCUUCGGAUUGUAAAGCACUUUAAGUUGGGAGGAAGGGCUUUAGGUCAAUACUUGGAAGUUUUGACGUUACCAACAGAAUAAGCACUGGAUAACUCUGUGCCAGCAGCCGCGGUAAUACAGAGGGUGCAAGCGUUAAUCGGAAUUACUGGGCGUAAAGCACGCGUAGGUGGUUCAGUAAGAUAGGUGUGAAAUCCCCGGGCUUAACCUGGGAACUGCUUUCAUAACUGCUGAGCUAGAGUACGGUAGAGGGUAGUGGAAUUUCCUGUGUAGCGGUGAAAUGCGUAGAUAUAGGAAGGAACACCAGUGGCGAAGGCGACUACCUGGACUGAUACUGACACUGAGGUGCGAAAGCGUGGGGAGCAAA